rnacentral:tRNA from 1 species
UCCAAUAUAGUUUAGCGGUUAGGAUUCCUGGUUUUCACCCAGGCGGCCUGGGUUUGACUCCCGGUAUGGAAA